GUAGUUUGUAUUUGAAUAGUUAGAUUAACGUGUUAGUAAUCCAAUUGUAGGCGGUUCGUGUGUGGAUCUCGUCAGCAUAUCAUCGCAAACAGGAAAUCCCCAACCAUAGUGGGCUUGGAGUUGUGAGGGAAUUCGGAGUGGCCACCCGUUCUGAAAGUUUGGUUUUCUUUUGGUGAACUGGACAUCCUUUUAUUUACGUUUGAAGUUUUGGGUUUUUUAAAUGUAAUAAGGCUGCUUAAUUAUUUUUGAUGGUUUUAAUAUGUAUUACUAAGAUAGGUAUUACUUAUUUUAACUGUUGCAAUUGCAUAGCUUUAA